rnacentral:lncRNA from 1 species
CUGCCAACAGCUGUCUUACACGAGGUGGCUCUGCCGGCACCUGUCUUAGACGAGGUGGCUCUGCCGGCACCUGUCUUAGACGAGGUGGCUCUGCCAACACCUGUCUUAGACGAGGUGGCUCUGCCGGCACCUGUCUUAGACGAGGCUGCUGUGUCAAAAUUCCACAGACCGACUGGCUUCACAGCAGACAUUUCUUUCUCCCAGCUCUGCAGGCUGGGAGUCCAGCCUCCAGGUGCCACAGACCCAGUUCCUGUUGAGGGACCACCCCCAGCUUACGGACAGCAGCCUCUUGCUCAUGUGGCUGUCCCCGUGUGUGCUCCUGGAGAGGAGGCUCCGGUGUCUCUUCCCAUGAGGGCGCUCAUCUCAUCGUGAGGGUCCCCCAGGAUCUUCUCUCAACCUGCUCCCCUCCCAAAGGCCCCACCUGCAACACUGUCUUGCUGGGGGUGAGGACUUUAACAUGUGAACUGGAGGUGGGGGACAAGUAUCCAGUCCACAGCAACCCCAACUCUGGGACCCAGUUUCUCUACUGGCACGUGCUGAGUAACCACCCACCCAGACGCCUGGUGGCUCACAGCUGCAGGGACACGGUGCUUCUGUGGCCGCAGGCGUGAGGACCUGGGUCCUGGCCUCCCUGGGGCCUGUUCCUUGGCUGUGCUCGGUUGCUCAGGGCUGCUCUGGUCCUGCAUCCCCAAGGAGAGCCCUUGUGAGGUCACAGGUGCAGAAGGAAGCCUGUCCGAUGCAGACGGAUGUUCCAGCCAGGCAGAGAGGAGAAAAUCAGUACCUAAAGCAUCUGACAGAAAAGGAAAAAAAGAUCCAAAAGAAACCAUUUAGAAUAGACUCAGAGGACAUAACACACCUGGGACUGACUUAGAUGAUAUUUAGGAAAGAUGUGUAAGAUUUCUACAUGUAAACUGAGAGAUGGGAUGGUAUUAUUACAAAUUUUCCUAAGCCAGGGUCACCCAUGCUGGAGGGCCAUGGUACAAUCACAGCUCACUGCAGCCUCAACCUCCCGGGCUCAUCCUCCAACCUCAGCCCCACGGGUAGCUUGAGAUUACAGGCGUGCACCACCAUGCCCAGCUAAUUUUGGGGGCUUUUGUUUGCUUGUUUUGGGAGAGACAGGGUCUCAUUAUGUUGCCCAGACUGUUGAGAUGGAACAUUACUCACAAACAUGUAAAAACUCGAACGAUGGCGGGUCUGCCCAUUCAUGGAUGGAGCAGGGGGUGUCAGCAUGUAAAAACUCAAACAAUGGUGGGUGCCUGUUCGUGGAUGGAGCAGGGGAUGUUGCGGAGCUGGAGCAUUACUCAGACAUGCAAACAACGGCGGGCGUGCCCAUUUGUGGAUGGAACGGGGGGGGUAUCAGGGAGAUGGAGCAUUACUCAAAGACAUGUAAAAACUCAAACAAUGGUGGGCGUGCCUGUUCGUGGAUGGAACAGGGGGUGUCGGGAAGGCUUUGGGGCUCCCGGUUGCUGUCAGUCGCCCGUGAGACCCGAGCAGCAGUCGCUCUGUUCUUGUGAUCAUGGCUGAGUGGGAUCCAGUGUGAGUCUCCACCCGGCCUGUUACCCAGUUCCAGCUGCAGGGCCUGUGCGCCCUUUUCCGCCUGGGCAGCAGUGAAUGAAGUUGCUCUAAGUCCCUUGCUGCUCUUGGUGCACUUAAGAGAGGGCUCGCAGGCCACAGGGUAACAGGAGAGGCUGAGUGCGUGGCAUCCUCCAUCAUGGAAACGCAUCUCGCGCCAGCACACGCAGCUGGCUUUUCCACUACUUUUGCCCGUCGAUGGCACCACCCAGCUUUUCUCUGGGUGGGACAGGUAUCUGUCCACCUGGGGUUUCUACUCUGCAUGUUUUAUCUUUUUUUUUUUUUUUUCUUGAGAUGGAGUUUCACUCGUCGCCCAGGCUGGAGGAUAAUGCCAUAAUCUCAGCUCACUGCAACCUCCGCCUCCCAGGUUCAAGUGAUUCUCUUGCCUCAGCCUCCUGAGCAGCUGGGACUACAGGUGCCUGCCACCAUGCCUGGCUAAUUUUUGUAUUUUGAGUAGAGACAGGGAUUCACCAUGUUGGCCAGGCUGGUCUUGAACUCCUGACCUCAGGUGAUCCGCUCGCCUCGGCCUCCCAAAGUGCUGGAAUUACAGGCGUGAGCCACCGCGCCCGGCCAUGUUUUAUCUUUUAUCCAGGUAGUCUGUGACUAUCCAAACGAGGCUCUGACAGUCUACAGGGAUCGUUGUCAGUCUGGAGAGAGUUGGGUUAAAGGCAGGUUGUUCGGGGUGAGAAGGGGACGCUGAGGCAGCAGGUGGUCACAGCCUCACGUCUCAGAAGGAUGUGCUGAGCAGGCCCGGGCAGGUUUUGGGCAAGUGAGGUCCACAGCCCUCUAAUGAGUACCUUUAGAGGCCACUGGCCUGCAAGUUCUGAUGAUGGGGAACAGCCUUAGGGGCCUCUCCCUGGAGCUCCCACUCGCCCCCUCGCCCCCCACCCUGCUGUGUCCUGAGCUGUGGCUUGGGAGAUGUUUCUGGACUGGGACCAGACCCCGCAACCUAGAGAGCCAGCUCUAGGCUGGGAAUUCCUGAGCUUAAUGUCCAGGCAUGAAGUCAGCUCCUUGUGUGUCCUCAUCUGUACAGUGAGGGAAGGGCCCGUCACCGUCUCCGCGAGGACAGACUCCGAGGUGACGUGGGUCGGGCCUGCACCCUCAGUGGUUUCCUUUCUGGAGUCUGGGCCUGCUCGGCCAGUGCCCUCAUUUUCUGUGGAGCUGUUCCAUGUCUGGGCACAGAAGCACCUCUCUGGGAGCAGGUGGGGACGUGAGAGCCCCCUGCUGGAACUGUUCUGUCGCAGGCCCCGGGAGGAGCUGGACCUGCUGCCUGAGCCCCUUGGGGCAGCGGGUGAGCCGCGGUGUGAGAGACUCGGGCCUGGAGCACCAAGGGCCCCACAGCAGGAGGGAUGGGGGUGCAGCCUCCAGGGCGCUGGGGUCCUCUUGGCUGACCAGGAGCCUUACACAGGGGCUGCCUCAUGGGUUUGGCGGGAGCCCCGGCGUGAGGGAGACAGCCACAGAGGCAGCCCCGAAAGCAAAGCGCGGAGCAGAUGGCAGAGGAUCCCACGUGGAAGAGAAGAGGGCGGCAGAGGAGAGGGCGGCAGAGGGUCCCGCGUGGCAGAGAAGAGGGCGGCAGAGGGUCCCGCGUGGCAGAGGAGAGGGCGGCAGAGGGUCCAGCGUGGCAGAGGAGAGGGCGGCAGAGGGUCCCGCGUGGCAGAGGAGAGGGCGGCGGAGGGUCCCGCGUGGCAGAGAGGGUGGCGGAGGGUCCCGCGUGGCAGAGGAGAG